CUCUCCCUCUCCUGCCAUGAGGUGAGCAGCUUUGCUCUGCCACCCACUUUCCAGGAUGUUCUACUUCAUCAAAGGCCCAAAGUGAUGGGGCAACAUGACCAUGGACUGAAACCUCUGAAACUGGUUUCCUUAAGUUGCCCAGGCUGGCCUCAAAUUUGCGAUCCUCCUGCCUCAAGCUCCAGAGCAGCUGGGAAGACAGGUCUGAAAUCUAAGUAAAAAUUGGCACGAUUCUGUGAAUGGGACCUUAUAUGGGCAAAGCCCUGCCGGACAAGGAAGUGAAGCCAUCCAGGGAUUCCCUGUUUGGCAGAAGGGCUGAGAGUAUAACUAAACAAACGAGGAGGUCUUUCAGGGACACUGGAACAGAUCUUCAAAGAAGAUUCCAUGGGUGAUUAAAAAUCUCUGGGUGGUAUUAGAGAGCUUACUGCAGAAAGUAUCAAAACCUUGGAAAGCUAAUAGUGGGGUCAUGAACUUUAUAAAGCAGAGUGAACCCCUGAGAGAACAAAACAGAACUCAAAAGAGUUCUCUAAACUACUACAUGGGGAAUACCAGCAAAACAAUAACACCUGGGCGAAAACUUUUAUGGGAGAGUCUUUCAACCCCCAAUCUCAGGCUCUCUGGCUGUUAAGUACCUUGUCAAGAAAUAUAAUA